rnacentral:rRNA from 1 species
UAGGGAAUCUUCGGCAAUGGACGAAAGUCUGACCGAGCAACGCCGCGUGAGUGAAGAAGGUUUUCGGAUCGUAAAACUCUGUUGGUAGAGAAGAACGUUGGUGAGAGUGGAAAGCUCAUCAAGUGACGGUAACUACCCAGAAAGGGACGGCUAACUACGUGUCAC